ACCUCCAACCACCUAACAAUAAUCAAUAUUGUACCGUACUGUGACCAUUAGGCUGCCCCCAAUACAUAUCAACUGUAAUCAUAUCAAAUAUCGGGAUCGGCCCAUGCUAGGCUUAAGCCCCUGAGCUACCACCCACACGUAUAUCAAGUAACACACAUAAGAGAUCUUUCCAAUAACUUAGUUCAAAAUCUUUUGGGAUUAUUA
rnacentral:lncRNA from 1 species